GAUCAUUGUAGAUACAUUUGAUGAUUUGUUGAAUUAUUAUUAUGUAUUUUCUCUCUUUUUCAGAUUGCUGGUACUCUCACCCUUCCAUUAGAUGUUAUUAAAACUCAUCGGCAGAUUGAACUCGAUCCUGCAAAUGGCACAAAAAGUGUUGGAUCCACAAGAACCAUGCUAGAGAACAUCUACAGGCAACAGGGCAUCAGAGGACUUUUUGCUGGGCUUGUGCCACGUCUCGCCAAAGUGAUGCCUGCGUGUGCCAUCAUGAUAUCUACUUAUGAAUAUGCUAAAAGGAUUUUGAGAAAGCGUAAAUCAGUGGUAGUUGAUACUUGACUUUGUUUAGUCUGUUUAAUAGGUUUAUUCAAGUAAAUUGCUCAGAGAGCUUGUAUAGUUGUUAUCUAUUAUAACAAAUUUUAUGAAUUGGAGGUGUUAUGUAAAGCAGGUUGUACUUUAUGUAUUAGAUACAUAAUGAAAGAAUGAAGACACUAAUAUAAGUCUGAGAAAUAUACUCACAAAAUAAAGAGAUUUAUAUGA